UGAGGAAUCUUGCACAAUGGGCGAAAGCCUGAUGCAGCGACGCCGCGUGCGGGAAGAAGGCCUUCGGGUUGUAAACCGCUUUUCUGGGGGACGAGCAAGGACGGUACCUCAGGAAUAAGUCCCGGCUAACUACGUGCCAGCAGCCGCGGUAAUACGUAGGGGGCAAGCGUUAUCCGGAAUCACUGGGCGUAAAGGGCGUCUAGGCGGCAAGGCAAGUCUCGCGUAAAAGCUCCCGGCUCAACUGGGAGAG
rnacentral:rRNA from 1 species